GAACACUUAAUCCUGCUUUUACUAAUAUUUUCCAUGCUAGAUGUAUAUGUCAUAUUUAUCAUUUAAUUGUUGGUAAUGGUAUGAGAAUAUUAAACUUAGAAAUUGAAAAGGUUAAAAUGGCUCUUAAUUGGCUAUUUUAUUCAAACUGUAGAAGUAAACUUAAAAAAUAUUUUAAAAAGUGUGACGAAUAUGGCCUUAGAGAAAGAAAGGUUCCUAAACCUUGCCACACUAGGUGGAAUUACAUGUACGAAAGUUUAGUAGUAGCGUACGAAUAUAGAAACCCAAUUAACGCUACGUAUAAUUCUCGGGAUUGUGGUGAGGAA
rnacentral:lncRNA from 1 species